rnacentral:lncRNA from 1 species
GUGACUUACUGUAUAGCAAAGAUCGGAAUCGUAGAGAUCGUAGAUCCGUUGCUUUUUCGACAGCUCAUGCUUAUCGCUAGAUACAUAUAUAUACAGUGUGAUUGAACAAGACUCGAGCUGUUUGUUUUUUUCUUGUUUUUGAUUUGAAACAAGGCUGGAGCUAUUUUGUACGCAGACGCCAUACCCUCAAGAGGAGCAUCCGCUUUCAGGCGUCCAGCACCAUCCCAUCACCGCGCAAAAUCGACGGACAGUUCAGGUUCCGUGAACAAGUUUCUCAACAACUCGCUCUUAGAGUCAAAGAGGCAGGUGGGAAAAUCAUGAGAGCCAGUGUUUAGGGUCUGCAGCGGCAGCGCCACUGCCUAAGCCUGUUAGCUUAAGCUUACCUGCUUUAAUUAUGGCUCUUCAGACAAGCAAACAUGUUUAUGUUAAUUUUAACUAUACGCCGAAAACUUCACCAGCUCAUCUAUCAUCAGUUCAUCACUCAUCAGGCUAUUAGCGCUUCUCUCUGUUAGCUAUUUGGUGUGGUUCUAUCUCGAGUGAUGUCUAAAUUGAUGCCAGAGCCUAAAGAGAAGAAGUUCUAGCUUGUUCACUACUUAGUUAUUUACUAUGUGUAAACUCGAAACCCCUAACAGUAACAGGACCACAGAUGUGCUGCUUUUUGUUAAUGACAACUCAUUGUUUCUCAUGAAGGUGGUUGAUGGUUUCUUUCCAAUGGAGAUGGUUGAAGAAAAGCUAAGAGACCUAUCUACGAGCUGCAUUUAAGAGUGCCAAGAAAAACGCCUUAUUAAUCUAACCUAACCUGGUGAAGUGACGUAAUCGUGCAAAGAAAUGACACUCACAAGCCAAUACAUCAUCUUAAUGACACGGAACAAACACAUAAUCAAAGAAUCAAAACUACCAACCCAAAAAACCUGAAUGACAUUUCAAAAAAUAGAACACAACAUGAAUUAAUAUAGGAAAAAUAAACUUCAAACAACAUUUACACCUUGCCAAUUAGUGAGAUCCAAGUAGUUGGACACAACUAUACAAGAAAUGACUAAUGAUUGAAAAACAACUAGAUCUAAAACUAUAUGAGGAACAAAACAGAUAGAAAGUGAAAAUUCAAAGAAUACCUAAAGGCAGGAAGACAACAUUUCAGAACAUGCAAGGCUUCAAACCAAAUGUAAAGGAUACACUAUGUCAGCAAAAAGAAGAGAGAGGAUGAUUUAGAAGUAGAGUAGUACCUCAGAUUCUGAAAAAUCACCGAUGACAUAGAAAGACCGUCAACAACCCACCUCUCUUGGCCUCUACCUGAACAUCUCCACAACACAAAUAGCGGCACGGGAUAGAAAACCUGUGAGAACAACAUUGGAUCAGAACAAUAGCAUGCAGAUGUACAACAUCUAAUAAAAAAAUGAAUGAAAUACUCAAUAAUGAAACCAAAUCAAUAAAAAAACGACUGUGCCUCCGCCUCGACCUCCACAUACCAUAAAAACAAAAAAAACAUAAAAAAGGAAAAUUUUUAUUAAUUGAAGCCUAAUAGUCACCCGAGUAAUCAUACUGAACAAAACAGACAAAAAAAUAUAAAACAAAAUUCUCAGCCCAUCACAAGAACCAAGAAAAUUAACAAAAUACAGAAAACAAAAUCUUUGUAUCGAAUGAAAAAACCAAAAACUUUCUGAGGCCAUUGGAUGAACCAAACAAAAUAAACAAAAUAGAAAAACAGAAAUUUUCUAUGAAUUUCAAAUACCAAAAACAAUAUGAGAGCACGGCAUGUAGUAUAUAUUUUUUGUGUUUCAGCUCCAGCUUCAGCGAAGUGCUGCUGCUCAAGGUCCUAAAUACUAUUGACUUUGGCUUGCAGGAUUUUCUCACUUCUUUUUUUGGUGAGCAGAGAGAGAUCUUUUCUUAGCUAGACACGGGAAAUUUACAAUCGGCUAAAAGGAGGUUCCAAGCACACGCAUGUGCUUGGCCCAACCAUGACGCAAGUACUUACAUCGACUAGCUAACAAAGCUUAGCGUUAGCUACUUGAUUACAUUCAGUCUUUUGGGAUAAACACACUAACACAUUUGCUAGUAACAACAGAAACACUUAAUUUUAUCAUAAUAUGAGGUCAUCUUAGGUCACCACAUAUUCACGAAAGGAAAAUGACAGGCAUCAUCUAUUCACCUAGGUUUCUACUGAUCCAACAUCAAAAGUAUAAGGCACCAAAUUUAACGUGGAAAACCCCCAAAUUGAGAUAAAAACCACAGGACAAAGCCAGCCAAAUCUUCUUGAGAUAAAUACGCGCGCGGCACUCGGUUUUGGCAACUGGAGAUUUUUGGCAAACAUGUUUAGCAAACUGUUGGAGAGGGUCUUUUUCAUUGAUUUGCCAAAAUUUGUGGGAUGGCAAGUGAUUUAGCAAAUUGUUGGAGAUGCUCUUAAUUGUUGGGGUG